rnacentral:rRNA from 1 species
GCUCAGAAACUUAAAUGAAUUGACGGGGCCCGGCACAAGCGGUGGAGUAUGUCGGUUUAAUUCGAUGCAACGCGAAGAACCUUACCUGGUCUUGACAUCCCGGAGACCCUUAGGAAACUAGGGGGUGCUUCCAUCUGGAAGAAUCUGGAGACAGGUGCUGCAUGGCUGUCGUCAGCUCGUGUCGUGAGAUGUUGGGUUAAGUCCCGCAACGAGCGCAACCCUUGCCUUUAGUUGCCAGCAGUUCGGCUGGGCACUCUAAAGGGACUGCCGGUGUUAAACCGGAGGAAGGUGGGGAUGACGUCAAGUCCUCAUGGCCUUUAUGACCAGGGCUACACACGUACUACAAUGGCCGAUACAAAGGGCAGCGACACUGCGAGGUGAAGCCAAUCCCGUAAAAUCGGUCUCAGUCCGGAUUGGAGUCUGCAACUCGACUCCAUGAAGUUGGAAUCGCUAGUAAUCGUGGAUCAGCAUGCCACGGUGAAUACGUUCCCGGGCCUU